AAUACCCCAACCUGACACAGGGAGGUAGUGACAAGAAAUAACAAUACGGGGCUUAAAGUCUUGUAAUUGGAAUGAUGGGAAUUUAAACCUCUUCCAGAGUAUCAAUUGGAGGGCAAAUCUGGUGCCAACAGCCGCGGUAAUUCCAGCUCCAAUAGCGUAUAUUAAAAUUGUUGCAGUUAAAAAGCUCGUAGUUGAAUUUCUGCUGCAUUGCUUGUGUCCCUCUGGGGUCUGUGCAUGUGGCUUUUUUCGGACGGAGUUUCUUUGUCUGAAUGUUUACUUUGAGAAAAUUAGAGUGCUCAAAGCAGGCUUUCGCCUUGAAUAGUUUACCAUGGAAUAAUAAAGUACGACUUUGGUUCUAUUUUGUUGGUUUUAGGUACCAAAGUAAUGGUUAAUAGGAACAGUUGGGGGCUUCGGAAUUUAA
rnacentral:rRNA from 1 species